UGAGGUCUACGUAGGACUUCCAGUAACCUCUUUGCCUGGCCUUAUUUUCACUGACUGGCUUACAUUAUCGGCCAAUGUAUGAUUGGUCAAUUCUUUGAUAUGUAGAAAUAAGUGCAACACACUUAUUGCUAGCCUUAUUUGCAGCAGCAGACAUCAAUUUCAAAUGCAGCAGGGCAGUGUUAAAGGCGCUUUUUGUUUCGGCGGGACGAUGAAUUUAUUUAGAAUAUCUAGUCAACAUGUACAACGUGUACCGGCUGCUGCUGAGCAGCCGGUUGUUUAUGAACCACCUCCGGAGGCGCAGCUUCCCCCGAAACCAGCAGGACCAACUCUGGAGGGUUUAAUUGCUGAAGAUUCAUAUCCACAGUAUUCUGCAAUUGCUGAUCAUGUUCGAGAAAAUGAAUCCGGAGUUGAACAUGGCGCUGGUGCAAAGAACGACUCAUCUGUUAUAGCAAAGCAUCAUGACGUUUCGGAUGAGGAAGGAUGGAUUGCGAUUCCAUACAAAGAACUCCCCGAUAAUUGGAAUGAUGCACCGGAUAUACAAUCAUUACGCUCUAUGGACCGCUCCUUUGUUUUUCCCGGUGAACAAGUUCAUAUCCUUGCAUUGCUGUCAGCAUGUAAGCAGGAUACAGAAAUUAUUACUCCUUUUAAAUUAGCUGCAGCUAUGAAUAAAAAUGGCUUAAAGCAAAGCCCAACGAAGCAAAAUGGGAAUGUGGAAGAUGAAAAUGAUACAUUGUCAAGAAAAGGAGAAAGUAGUCCUGAUAGUCAAGGUACAGAUCAAAAUGGUGAAACCCUGUCAAAAGAGAAGGCUGAUCCACAAAAGGAUGUUUCUGCUAGUGAAUCCCUUCUUCGAAUGGAGGAUCACAAAAGACAAACUGAAAUAUUAUUGCAAAGAUUUGAGAGGUCUCAUUUUUUUGUUAGGAUUGCGGAGUCAGGUGAGUCCCUUUGGUCAAAAAAGGGUUCUUCUAAGAAGUCUUCAGAAUCGUCUGAGAUGGAUGGUCCAGAGGACACGUUAAAUGGAACCCAGAAAAGUGCAUUGUCUCAACUCAAUGCCAUUGUUGAUAAAGGAAAUUUUGAUCCCAACGUCUCUGGUGGUGUAGCAAGAAAUAAUGUCAAGUGUUGCUCUCUUUCUAAUGGAGACAUAGUGGUUCUUUUACAGGUGAAUGUUGGUGUAGAUUUUUUGAAUGACCCUGUUAUUGAGAUUCUUCAGUUUGAGAAGUACCGUGAGAGAAGUUUGUCUACAGAGGCUCAGGAGAACUUGGUUUAUGCAAAUCCGGACCCAUGUGGAGAGUUGUUAAAAUGGCUGCUUCCUUUGGAUAACGUACUUCCUCCUCCAGCUCGUCCUUUAUCUCCUCCUUUAACUUCCAAUUCAGGAAUUGGUGGCACACCUCAAAAGCCCACAUCCAGUUCUCAGAUUUUCUCCCAUUUUAGAAGUUACUCCAUGUCAUCACUACCACAAAAUACUACACAACCACCUGCACCUAAUAAAGCCGCCAGUUCUAAGCCAAGCUUUGAUCUUGAAGACUGGGAUCAGUUUUCAUCUCUGAAGCUCUUGAAGAGUCAAAAAGCUGGUUACGACGGGCUUUUAUCUUUUCGAGGUGUGUCAUUGGAGUGCGAAAGAUUUUCUGUUCGUUGUGGAUUGGAAGGCAUCUAUACACCAGGAAGAAGAUGGAGGAGAAAACUUGAAAUCAUACAACCUGUAGAAAUUCAUUCUUUUGCUGCGGACUGCAAUACAGAUGACCUUCUCUGUGUCCAGAUAAAGAAUGUUUCUCCAGCACAUGCACCAAAUAUUGUGGUGUAUGUAGAUGCUAUAACGAUUGUCUCUGAGGAGGCUUCAAAAGGUGGACAGUCCGUAUCGUUACCAAUUGUAUGUGUGGAAGCAGGAAGUGACCAUAGUUUACCAAAUUUAGCACUCAGGAGGGGUGAAGAGCAUUCUUUUAUUCUUAAACCAGCAACAACCCUGUGGAAGAAUUUCAAGACUGGUGGUGAUAGAAGCACUCAACAAUCACUAGCACAGGCUGGAAAUGCAGCAUCAAGUUCACGUCUAGCAUUGAAGACUGCUGAAGGAAAAAGGGCUGCUUCAACUGCUGACCAGUAUGCAAUUAUGGUAUCCUGUCGGUGCAACUACACGGAGUCAAGAUUGUUUUUUAAACAGCCAACAAGUUGGCGACCGCGUAUUUCAAGGGAUCUUAUGAUAUCUGUUGCGUCUGAAAUGUCUGGACAAUCUAGUGCACCAAAUGCUGGAGUCUCCCAACUUCCUGUUCAGGUCUUAACUCUUCAGGCCUCAAACUUAACAACUGAAGAUCUAUCUCUGACGGUUCUUGCCCCGGCUUCAUUUACUUCACCACCUUCAGUCGUAUCCUUGAAUUCUUCACCUUCUUCUCCAAUGAGUCCAUUUGUUGGUUUUCCUGGGUUUACAGGAAGAACAACUGCCGAGAGACAUAACUCUACAAUGCAGAGGCUGAACUCAGCACCCUCUAUAUUGACAAAUCAGAAACAAGCUUCUUCUAAUGGACAAGCUUCUCCAGUAUCUGAUGUUGUUCCUAGUGCUGGUUUAGGUUGUACACAUUUGUGGCUUCAGAGUAGAGUUCCACUAGGAUGUGUUCCCUCCCAAUCUACGGCCACCAUCAAGCUUGAGCUACUUCCAUUGACCGAUGGCAUAAUUACGCUGGACACUCUUCAGAUUGAUGUCAAGGAAAAAGGUCGUACUUACAUACCUGAGCACUCGCUGAAGAUUAAUGCCACUUCCAGUAUUUCCUCGGGGAUUUUUUAAGAAACAUCCCGUGCAACAUGCAUUUCAUUCCACAUUCGCAUUGAAGUGUCAACUUCUGUAGUCAUCGAGCAUCAGGCUCUCAACAACAGGCAUGAAUCAUGUCAUGGCCAGAGCCUCGGAGAGUACAGCUUUGAAGAAGUCCUCAGCUAAUAGGUUUGUUCCAUAUACUAAAACCUUAGAUUGCAAUUGAUAUCAAUUGGAGGCCUCAAGAUAUAGCAUGGCAUCAGCUGAUUGGCUUCCGGCUAUCAAUAACUACUUGUCACAGUAUGUCUCCAGUUCUAGACUUACUGGCUCCCUUCCUGAAAGAGCAUGGAAAAAUAAACAUUGCAGUUUGCAGACUCUAGACCUAUCAUAUAAUUCUGUAAGUAUGGAUGUACAACAAUUUGUUGAGGCUUUGUCUACAUGCAGUAAUAGUAGCUUAGAAGUGCUAGAUUUCAUGUCAAGUAAUCUCCAUGGAUCACUGCCUGAAUGUUUGGGAUCCCUUAAAUAUUUGGAAAGUCUUGGGUUCAGAAAGAACUCACUCUCGGGUCCUCUCCCAGCCACAAUAGGAAAUCUGUCACAUUUGCAGGUCCUGGACCUGGCCUCCAACAACAUGAUGAAUGGUUCCAUCCCAGAAAGUAUCGGACAACUUUCAGAGUUGAGAGCAUCGUUAUUCUGGGAGUCUGGGGUGGUUCAUGGGAAGGUGUUAUAUCUGAAAUUCAUCUUCCCAAUCUCUCUAGUUUGAUAAGUUAUUCUCUGUCUUCCACAAACUCUCUGGUUUUCCAUGUCAGUCUUGACUGGACUCCUGCCUUCAAUCUAUUGUUUCUCUCCAUCAGUGAUAGCAAACUGAUGAAUCCCGCUUUUCCAAUGUGGCUCAGAAAUCAGAGUUUCCUCGAUGAAAUAAAUUUCUCAAAUGUUGGAAUUUCAGAUGCAAUACCUGAUUGGUUUUGGAAAAUGUCACAAUCUUAUUAUAAUUGGUGGUUUACUGUGGAUCUCUCUGAUAAUCAAUUGAGAGGGCGCCUUCCAAGCACAGUAAAUUUUUCUGUUGGAGCAUACGUUAAUUUGAAUAACAACUUCUUGGAGGGUUCUCUUCCACUUUGGCAAAAUGUAACGGAGCUCAGCUUGGCAGACAAUAGAUUUUCCGGACCAAUUCCCUUGAGCAUUGGCGAGGAGAUGCCAAAUAUGGUGACCCUAGAUCUUUCUAGGAAUAACCUGAUUGGUAGCAUCCCCGCUUCCAUAACAAAACUCAAGAAAUUGGUUUCGCUUGAUCUCUCAAGGAAUCAUCUGUCUGGAACCAUCCCCAGUGUCCAGGCUGAGAUUAAGCAACAACAAUCUCUCAGGGGAGAUUGACCAGUCCUUUCAAAACUGUACAAGACUGUUUACGCUUGAUCUUGGAGGGAACAAAUUGUCAGGGAGCAUACCAGAGUGGAUUGGAAAAAAUCUGUACGUAUUAAUUCUCGGAGCCAACAGAUUCACCGGAAGUAUGAUGAUGAUGAGGAUGGUUCCGGAUAUAAAGGGCUGUAUGUAAAGCAUCACACUGGGAUUCAUUGUGGGAUUUUGGGAUGUUUUUGGCAAUGCCAUCGACGACUAUGAAGAUGAUGAUGGCAUUUCUGUAUGCUUCUCCGGAGCGAAGCCGAACUACAACGCCCUGCUCUAUUCUCUGAGGGGGAUGCUGUUGCCACGCACAGCUCUGAGAUGGCACUCAUUUCCUCAUAUCGGGGUUCUUUGGCGGGAUUGGAUUGGUCAGAUUACAGUUAUAUAGUGAGCAUUGAGAUGCCGGCCCAGAUUUUUAGGGAACUUAUCAAUUCUCUGAGCUUUUAUGGGUUUGAAGUUCAUGCCGAUGUGACAGCGACUCGAAUUAUGUUCCGUGUAGUCAAUAAAGUGGUUAUUCUGGAGGAAGGGGCUGAGAGAUACCGGAUUCUGCGUGAGAGGGGUCAAUAUCCAUUUUUGUUGGAAUUUGGUCUCCAUCAAAAGAGUGCAUUCCUGAAUGCGGCGAGUUUAUCAGACAGAGUUAGGCUGCACCAGCUUUUGGAUUUACGCACUGUGUUGGAGGUACCUGUUAAUGGACUCGGUAGCAUCCUGUUUUGUUCUAGGCUUUAGGUGAUCAUCUAUGAUUCAAAUUUUACAUGUAUUUUCUCUGUCCUCGAUUGAGAAUUCUUUAGGGUGUAUUGAUUCCAGUAGAUGUUGCAGAAUCUGUCUCUAUUACCAUUGUUGACAUGCAACAUUUUUUCAUGUUGGAAGUAGCUUGCCUCCACCUCAUUCUGAUUGUACUUUAACCCUGCUUAGUCAGCUUAUACACCUUAG